rnacentral:rRNA from 1 species
AGGUAAACGGGUGGAGCUGAACCGGACGCACAGGAUUUGGUUUAUUGCGCGGUGAAUCGGGUCAAUGCGGCAUCCCUUGGAGGAGUUGUACGAUUCGAUAGUGACCACGUGGAUGGCCUGUUGUUCUGUGCGUCUGCACUGCGACCGAUAGUCGGUUGGCACUGGCAGUUGGGAAGGUGAGGCAUCCGAUUUCGGUCGGCGGCCAGUUACAGCCCGCUGUAUCAUGUGUCGUUACCGAGACUAUCGGAGAUGGCGCCGUUCAUCACGGGACAGUGUCGCAUUGCCGAGUGACGAUUGGCGUUUAGCUGCUUGCAGCGCGUCGGUCGCUUUGCUUGUAGUGCGGCGCUGUCUCUGGACGGGCCACAGUCUGCAGUGAAAACGUAGGUUAUCCACCCGACCCGUCUUGAAACACGGACCGAGAAGUGCAGCGUAUGCGCGAGUCAAAGGGCCUAAGAAACCCCACGGCGCAAUGAAAGUAAAAUGCGGCCUUGUGCUGUAUUUGAAGAUGGGAUCCUGGAGGCUAACUACCGAAAGGCGCACCAUCGGCCCGUGACAAACCUUACGAGGGUGUUGCGGAGCUAGAGCGUAUACGCUGUGACCCGAAAGAUGGUGACCUAUGCAUGCGGAGGUUGAAGCCAGAGGAAACUCUGGUGGAAGACCGAAGCGCUUCUGACGUGCAAAUCGAUCGUGAGACGUGUGUAUAGGGGCGAAAGACUAAUCGAACCAUCUAGUAGCUGGUUCCCGUCGAAGUUUCCUUCAGGAUAGCUUGUGUUUGCAUAGAAGUGUCAUAUCCGGUAAAGCUAAUGAUUAGAGGUACUGGGAGAUUAAAUCUCUCAACCUAUUCUCAAACUUUAAAUGGGUAUGAUGCCGAAACUAUGUAAUUUGGACGUCUUCGGGCGGCCAAAAAGCUUCGGCUUUGAAUCAGAACACAAAGUGGGCCAUUUUUGGUAAGCAGAACUGGUGCUGUGGGAUGAACCAAACGUGCAGCUAAAGUGUCAAACUAUCGCUCAUCGGAUACCACUAAAGGUGUUGGUUGAUUAUGACAGCAGGACAGUGGCCAUGGAAGUUGGAAUCUGCUAAGAAGUGUGUAACAACUUACCUGCCGAAUUAACCAGCCCUGAAAAUGGAUGACGCUGUAGCGAUAGACUUAUGCUGCACCGGCACUGCACAAACGGGGUCGCUUGCGGCUCCUAGUAGGCAGUGCCGAGUAGACGGGCGCCAUGGUUGUUACGAAGCUUACGACGCAAGUCGGAGUGGAGCAGCCAUGG